UCUGAUUUAGCAUAUAUUUAAUGCAAUGGAUUGUAACCGAGUAAAAUUUA
rnacentral:tRNA from 1 species